GAAGGAUCUGAUGCCUGUGGGGUUUCCUUUUCAGCUCUGUUUGGAGAGUGGAAAGUUCCUGGCCAGACAGAGACCUGGCUAAGCUCCUUCCUGAAGGACUGAAUUCCUCAGAGAUUUAGAGGUGGGACCUGUCCUCCGCCGCUAUUGUUCAUGUACCUCUCAAAGGAGCUGAAGGAAAUGGAAUUGACAUCUGUGUGUAAUGUGUGAGGCUGUGACCUCUGAAAUCCACUGAUGGAUGCUGCCACAAGGCCCUCGUGCAUCACCGAAGGCUGCUCUGCAGAGGCUCUGCCCUUGCUGUGCCAGCUGUUGUGCAGCUAGGCAUCGUAUGCUCCUGGAGAAGUCCACUGGUGCUUUCUGGAAAGCUUUCUCCCUUCCGUCUGAUCUGCUGAGGCUGCUUCUGAUAAAGGCUAUUUAUUUCUGCCUUCUUGGCUUGGGCUGCACGCUGUGAGUCUGGAGGAGCCGUGACCUGGAGGGACCAUCUGUUUCUCUGUUGGCAGGCAGAAGGGAUGGGGGCCAGGGAGGAAGGAUGCAGCUCCUCUAUGCUGCUGUUCCUGUGCCUCCUCGCUGUCUGGAUGGAGAGGCUUGGGAGCGACCUGCUUCCCUCCUGGCAUCAGAACCCUUCUGGCCACAGGAGCGACCUGGCAGCAGCGUGGAUUUCCUCGAGGAGCUGCAGGUUGCAGCAGAUGCUGCCCAUGGGAGCCCUGGGAACAGACCUGGAAUGCCAGCCUUCAGAAGGACUUGGUUUGGUAACAGACCUCUUUGAUUUCUGGUGGUCAGAGCAUUGAUUAUGGUCUUCAGAAACCCACGGAAAGGCUUCAGAUCUAAACCCACAAAGGGUUUAAGCUCUCAAUUUAGGAACUCCAGCAGCAGUUUAAUGUUUUUGCUGAUAGCAGCCUAUGAAUGAAAGCCCCUGCCCCGCAGUGCUAUCUCUAAGUAUCUGUCACUCUGUGUGCUUAGCAAGAGCAGAGAAUGGGAGAUACAACUUCUGAUUAAUGUCUCUGGGGAGCUUUUGCAAUACUGUUUUGCAAGCAAUUGUCAUUUAACAUUAAGGUAAAUACCUUGCAGCUAUGAACUAGAAAGCCCUUUUUUUCCUUUCCUUUUGGAAACAGCCUCUUGGCUUCACAAAGCUCUUGCUCAUGUUAAAACCACUUCUUUUUCUCUGUUGGUGCUGUAGCUGCCCUGCUGGUACCCCAGAGCUUGCCCUGAGCUUGAGGUGGCUGGUAGUGGGCAGGGAUGCUCAGUGCUGUGCCAGCAGGGGAGUUAAACCAGAGGUGCUUCUUGGUGCCUCUGCCCUCCUCCCCUCUGCAGGAGGAUGCUGCUGGCUAGCUGGCACGGGGUAGUGCUGAGUGGCUGGGUAUGUAAAUGAGCUCACUUUCAUUAGAGAGCUUGGCUGUAAGAAAACACCAUUAACUCCAUCGAGGCUCAUCUCUUUUAAUACCUGUGCUCCCCCUGGAGACAUCCAAGUUUCUAGGCUAAUAAUUUCUUAUCGGACUCUGGUGACUUUUACUUAAGGAAGUUGCUUCAGGCAGGGAGACCCCACUCUUAAUAUUUUUUCAUUCAUUUCUAAAAGAUUUGGAGUCUUCUUAUUAUUACUGCUUCCCUCAAAUGUUUAACUUCUACCUUUCCUCAACACCUCAUCUGGCUCUCACUGCUGUAACCCAAGCAGAUUAAUGCAGUCACCAAGACCUGCAACACAAUCCUUCUCACCGCUGUGUUGGAAAUCCAAUGUUUUGGGGAUCACUGCGUCAUUGCAGGCGAUAAUGGUGCUAGUACCUGCCCUGCGGAGGUGGUGGCAGCUUUCUCCUGUGAAAGACAGCACUGACUCCUUGUCCUAUCGCCCCCUCCCAGAAGCGUGUCUUGUUCUGGCUCCUUCCAGCAAUGCAAACAAUUACCGUUGUGCGAGAGCCACAACUGCCCAUGCUUUAACAACAUUGCAAAUUACACUCGUAAAUUCAGAGUGCAGCUAAUUGUUGUUUUAUGGAGUAGAUGUUCUUCAGGAAAAAAAAAUAAAUUAAUCUGUAAACACUCCGAUGCCCUGCUGAGCACAGGACUGUUUAUCUUUGGUGAGGAAUAGCCUUCCAGAGCAACCUCGGUGCACGCCGGAUCACAAACUUUUCAAGGGCAGUGGUGUUCCCCUGGUGUGGCUCUGGGCAGGCAGGAGCUGUGAGAGAGGUGGGUUUUGUUUGCUUGGUUUUUAUUCUGGGAUUUCACCUGCCCCUGGAGCAGCGUGCUUUGUGAUUACCGUGUUGUUGCUUGUUCUGGAAACCCCUCUGGCCUGGCUGAGAUGAGGGCUCCCCGGUGCCGCCCGCUGCCCUUGUGAAGGGGAAGAUGCAGCUGGUUUGAAGGAUUACAGGCAAAGUGGAUGCGACUGGCCGAGGCAGGGGACAGAUGUAAACCUCACUGUGCGAUGCUGGGCAGAUUGCUCUGCUAAUUUACAAGGAUGCUGUUGCACCAUAAGCAGGUGCCUUAAGACGGUUUCUGCCCUUCAUCCUUCUUGAGCUUGUCCAGAGGAUGGAUGGGACACCCAGGAAUGAGCUGCUCUGGAGUACCCAGUACCACUCUGCUCACAAAUGUACCCUUUAAGGAGCCACUCAGCCUCCCUGGCGCUAUCAUUCUUCUGAGCCUUCUCUGCUUCAUUCCUAAUUGGAUCCUUUGUACUCAAUUGUCCUGAUCUGCGGAAAUGUUAUGAGGAUGAGGGUUUUGGCUUUUUUUCUUUUCUUAUAGUGAUUUAUUGUAUUUUAAUUCUGGUUUCAGUGUGCAGGCUUCACUUGGCAGGAGUGUGAUUUGCAGGGAGGCAGAGUGUGGGAGGCUUUAUAAAUAAAACACCUGCUCUGUCUCCCUUCAUGACCAGGGUCUGAUCUUCAUUACUCCAGGGCAAACCUGGGAAACUUUCCACUAAAAUCAAGGGUGGCACCGGCACGGUGCUGGUGUAGCAGAGAUGAGAAUCAGAGAUGAGAAUCCAUCUGCCUGCAAAUUGCCAAGGCUGUAGCUUUCGGGACUCUAAGCAGGUGAUCUACGUGCAUUUUAAUAACCGUAACCUUCACAGCGAGUGCACAUUCUGCUGAGUGUGCAGAUUGCAAACCCGCGCUGCAAUCGCUGGAAAGGUUGUUUGUGGUAGCUCUUGAUAUACUGUUUGGAUUGGGCUUUGUUUGCUCCAGCGAGGCUUUGGAAGGGAAUGAUGUGCUAAUUGAGUAUUCAGCAAAUAGCAGCUUCCAAAAGGUCCUUGCCCGGUGAGCUAGGAGAUGCCCCUGAAAACACACGUCCACUGGUUAGCACGUGUGGCAGUGCCCUUGUGAGCCAAAUGGGAUCCUUUAAUUAUAGGUACUAAUAAUGCUUUGAGCUUUGCAAGUGCUCUGCAUGAUCAAAGUGCUCUUGGCCCAUCUUGUAAUGCUGAGAUGAAGCAGGUAUCGACAGGGGAUGCAUGGACGGUGCUGGUGGGAGCUGUGCUGAAAGCACCAUCUUCUGCCCACAGUUCAGCUUCUGAAAAGGACUUGGAUGCCACAAGGAGCUCUGGCAUAAAUGCCAAGAUUGGCAAAUGCUUCGUGCUGCAGCGAGCAUUGCUGGACAGCUGGGCUGAGAUCUGACACCAUCCAACACGGGGCCGGAGGGACUCAGAGCACGGGGCCUGAGGUACAUGGCUGGGUAUCAGCUGGGCCUUUGUGCCUGUCGGUGCUGACUCCUGCUGUCACAGCUGCCCUUCAAAGGGGAAAAACGCUGUAGCCUUUCUCAAGGGAGCAUUUGAAAUGUAAACCUGAGCCCUGCUUUCGUGUAAAUAAUAGUAUUUUUUCCCCUUAUGGAGCCUGCUACAGGGUGCACUCUCAGCUGGCAGUGGUGGAAGCGACCAGCGACUUUCAUAGGAGAGGGAGAGGCAAGGUUUUGCCAAGGAGGUGCAGUGCUGUCACCUUGCUGUCGUUGGGGCCUGAUCCUGCCUCGAGAGGAGAACAAGCAAAAAAAAAAAAAGGCUGUGAACAAUCUUGAGCACAGGCCCUGGUGGCUGGCAGCCCCACUGCGGGAGGGCUGGGGCCUGACCUCCUGUCCACUGCGCUGAGCAGCAGCACCAGGUCUCUGCUGCUGAACCACGGGCUGCGGGGAGCACCUGUGGGGUGAAGGAGGCAAAGGCUUCAGUCUGCUGUAGUUGCCAGGCUAAAGCAUGCUACUGUGGAAAUUCAGCUUAUGGAGAGGCUGGGGGGGAGCCAGGCUCCCCCGGCUGGCUCUUGGCAGGCAGUCAGAGUGACUCAAAAGGGAGAAAAUCUUCACCCAUCCCCUCCAAUCCCAUCUGUGGCUUAAAGGAAUCAGGUUGUACUCAUGUUCUGGAUGGGGGCUUACCCUGAAUGCUGUUAGUGUGAGUAUGCUCAGCUGUGUUUUUGUGGGGUCCCCUUGCUGCUCUACUGGGCCCCUCAGAAUCCCACUGCUGUGUGUCUGCAGCUGAAAUACCUCAGCUGUAACCUAUUUAGCUUUCCUGGCAAAAAGUCUUCAAGUGGAGCACGAGGCUUCUCAGGCUGUGUGUGGGUGAACGUGAGAAAAGCCAACAAGGUGUUCAACUCAAGUAGGUCAGAAGAGGGAACCUGAAUUUUACAGGAAACACUGAUACGUGUACUCAGAGGAGUUGAGAAUUACAUCUGAUACGUAACUCCUGUUGCCUUCCACAACCAGCACGAAUGCAAGGCAGGAACUCCACACCAAAAUGCGGUGCUGUGACCUUGGUCAACGUCAAAGGACAAAUUACCCCGUGCAACGUGCUCCUGGAAUACACCCCGGCGGUUCAGAAGCUCACGGCGUCCCUUCUGGGAGCUGUCACUGGGAAGUGGCUUCAUCCCUUCUGCCUCAGCAGGUGCUGGAUGGGGUGAGGAUAGCAGGGAGCAGAGCAGCACCCACUGGGACAGCAGGUAGGGAUGGAGCUGACCCUAAUGCAGCUCCUCUCCUGUCUGUAAACAGCCAUCAUCAGAGCUUUGAGAUUGAAGACCUUCAAGCUGGAAUCACCUCCUUCCUGGCUUCCCAAAGCAAAUGUAGAAAACUAAGACCCUUCCCUCAGCGUGGUGAGGCCAGUUUUCCUAUGGAAUACGGAGCAGAGGCUUUCUGAAGGUGCUGAGCUGGUUGUGGUUAUCCCAGUGCUCUAACCAGGGAAACAUACCUGAAGCCAACCUCUGGGGAAACGGACCGGUGCCUUCCAUGUCUGAGAGAACUGAUGGAUUUCUUUCCCGCUCCGCCCUGCCACGAGGGCUCAAUCUGAUGGCAAAGUGAGCAAGUAGAGGAAGAUGGACAGAGGCAGCUGGCAGGAUGCUGUGGCCAGCAGGUGCUGAUUUGUUCUCUUCCCUCCUCUGCCUCAGAGCUGAUAGAAACCUAGGAUAGCUGAUAGAAGCCCAGGAUCAGGGUAAAGGUCUGUGAUUUUUUAUUUAUCUUUUUUUCCCCUCUGACAUCUAUAUGGAAAUGAUCUUGUUCCUUUCCCUUCUGCUCCACCAGCCACCUCCUCUCCCCCUCGCCUUGGUAAGAGCCUGGUCCAGUUUCGGGUGCAGAGGCACAGAAAAGCCAAACCCUGGACGUGGGUGGGCUGCCUUGUGUGGGUGCCAGGGGCUUGCUGAGGUCAGGAGCAGGCAGCAAGCAGCGUGUUUGCCAUCUGGACAGAGCCAGCAUGGGCACAAAGCUGCCCCUUCCACCUGCAGCCGCACCUUGAGAGAGGACCCAGCAUCCCGAGGGCUUCCUGCGUGCUGGGGGGGAGGAAUUCACACCCUGGCUGCUGCAUCUGCCUCUGCCUGCAGCCUCCAAGGAGCAUCCAGGAGCUGCUGCCCUCCCAGCACAGCACUGGGCAGAGACCAGAGCCAGCCCUGCCAGGGGACAAGGAGAGAGCAGUUGUGGCUGUGGGGCAGGACCUAAACUGGCCUGGCCCCACUGGUGCAUGGCUGGGAUGCUGGUGCAGAGGCCAGGGGGAGGUUUAUUAAUUACUCGGUGGUGCUGUGUUAACGGGGCCCAUUUUCAGCUUUUUCUCUUCUGUUUUGAAACUGUGAAAUGAAGCGCAGUAAUCAAGGAAGGUUUUAAUAACCAUCCCAGCUCUGACAUUUAAAUUACAGAUGGCAUUUUCAAUUAAACAGGCGCUCUCAGCAGGUUUAAUUUAGCUAUCAGUUCUGCUCUGUUCUUUAAGUGCUUUCUUAAAAACGGUGAUGAAUUUAAAACUUGCUCCAAAGAGAGGAGGAGCUGAGGAGGGAUUGGAGCUGGCUGGAGAAGGGGAAGCCCCGGAGGAUGCUGAGUGUGCAAAGGAAAGCCAGAGGUUGAGGAGUACAGAGGAUGUGUGAUUCCCCCAGCACAGAUCUGUGCACAGGGCGCCCCACAUCUCAAAUGUCACUUUGUGUGCCUGCAUCUGUGCACAGUCACAUGCAACACCACGCUUCCCAGUGCAGUGGGACUUGAGCAUCCCGUCUGUUCUGUGGCUGGUCAGGGGUCUGCCUGCACACCUGCCUCCCUUCGUUCCUCCCCUCGGUGUCCCACCUCUUUCUGUCUUUCUGAUGGUGAUACCUUA